AUACGGAGGAUGCAAGCGUUAUCCGGAUUUAUUGGGUUUAAAGGGUGCGUAGGCGGGAUUUUAAGCGUGAGGUGAAAUGCCACGGCUCAACCGUGGAACUGCCUCGCGAACUGGGAUUCUUGAAUGCCCCUGCCGUGGGAGGAAUGUGUGGUGUAGCGGUGAAAUGCAUAGAGAUCACACAGAACACCGAUUGCGAAGGCAUCUCACGAAGGGGUGAUUGACGCUGAGGCACGAAAGCGUGGGGAUCAAACAGGGUUAGAUACCCUGGUAGUCCACGCAGUAAACGAUGAUAACUAACCGCUGGGGAGCGAUUUUCAGUGGCCAAGCGAAAGCGAUAAGUUAUCCACCUGGGGAGUACGACCGCAAGGUUGAAA
rnacentral:rRNA from 1 species